CACUUUUCCUGCCCUCGAGGAGCUCACAGUCUAGUACGUCUCAUCCCCUACUAGACUGAAGCUCCUUGAGGACAGGGAUCGUCAUACUCACCU
rnacentral:pre_miRNA from 1 species